UACGGAGGGGGCUAGCGUUGUUCGGAAUUACUGGGCGUAAAGCGCACGUAGGCGGGUUGUUAAGUCAGGGGUGAAAUCCUGGAGCUCAACUCCAGAACUGCCUUUGAUACUGGCAACCUAGAGACUGGAAGAGGUUAGUGGAAUUCCCAGUGUAGAGGUGAAAUACGUAGAGAUUGGGAAGAACACCAGGGGCGAAGGCGGCUAUCUGGACGGUUUCUGACACUAAGACACGAAAGCGUGGGGAGCAAACAGG
rnacentral:rRNA from 1 species